rnacentral:lncRNA from 1 species
GCCAACAUAUCCAUCUCCUCUAGAAUAUGAAGACGUGAUUGAAGAAAACAAAUGAUCAGACUUUGAAUUUUUGAUACGCAAUUUGGAUUAAGAAAAAACAUACGUCUGAGCUCUUAGUUUCAAAAUUCAUCCAAGGAAAACAGCCUAAUCUCAUAAGGGAGUAGGUUGAAUUCCUUCCUUGGGACCGAGAUUCCAGGAUCGAAACAAUGAAGGGAUCCAUUCACGAUGAUUUGUAUGAUGCGGAGUGUUGUGAUAUUUAUUACGGUGCAUGACAUCAUCAGAUUGGAAUUGAAUUCGUAGACAAAAGCAUGAAAAUGUUACCUAUUUCCUAGUGCACCCCCAUAAACAGUGGGUGGGAUCACUUAAAUAAAAUACAAAAUGGAACAAAAUCCUUGGAGAUGAAUUUUUUUAAGGUCUUAUUUUUUUUUUUUAAAUUAAACAAAGAAUAGUUUUCUAUAAUCUAAGCUAUAAUAUUCUUUAUCACAAUGAAUGGGCAAUAAGUUAUUAAGGUCUAAGGAAGAGUCACUUUUUUCAUCAUUUUUCAGCGUAAAAAUGGAAAUAUAUCGAGAUUAUUUCUCUCGAUAUUGAGAUCAAGUACAAGAUACAUAAUCAAGAAAAAUAAGUUAUAAUUAUAAAAAAAUACUUUUACAUAUGUUUUAUUAAUCUUAAUUUAAAUUUGAGUAUCAUCGUAAGGAUAAAAAAUGACUCUUAAACAAUAAUAUGACAGAAUUACUCUAAUCCCAGAUAUUUCAGAAGCCAGAUGACGGUGAGAAAAACUGGGAUAUAAUUUCUUAGGGAGACCCCACUUAGAGCAUAAACCUCUUUUUGUCAUAGUAUUCUUGAGCCCCUAAUUUACAAUUACAUCCCAUUUUGAAAAAUUUACGAACCACUCUUGCUCUUCUUAGUGUCACUUCAUGAUGGAAAGGUUGAAUAUCAACAUAGGAGACAGAAGAAAUGUUGUCUGAAUUUUUUAAAUUGAAAUGCAUAAAUAAAUUAUCAGUUAAUAGGAAAAAAAUUACGUAUUACGUUAAUUAAUAUGUUUAAGCGUGUUGAAGAACUAAAAUUGUAGAUUGGUUUAAACAAUUCGGAGAAAUAAUUAACCACUAUCCCAAAAAGAAUUCCGAGGAUAAGAUAGCUAAGGAAAUAUUUACUCAGUAAAGGAGUAUUUAGAGGGAUUGUGAUAAUAUAGUGGAAAUGGUUGCUGAUCCUUCUUCACUUCCCCACAUUAUAGUAUUUCGAGGAACUCUUGCCAGGUUAAAGUUUGCAAGAAGUGAAAUGCGUAGCUAAAAUUGUUUUAAUUUUGACUAAAUAAAACAUUAUUGUAGUCAAAAUAGGGUGCGAAUCUUUGAUUAUGAUAGAACAUAGUAGAGUGAUAUCUGAGAGAGAGAAAAACAUAUUAUAAAAAAUUAAUACUUAUCAAAUAUUGGAAAUUUUGAAGAUGAUAUAAAGAAAAAUGUGUUAAAAGAAAAUAGACCCGUAAUGCAUAUAAAAAACUUGAAGAGGAAAAAAACAUCAUCAAUUAGCAAAAUUAUACAUAAUGAAAAGACUUUAUGUAAAACAGCGGACAUCUGGAGUGCACUUCACGAUUCUUUCCCAUCCUUAGUUGGUAUAAAGGGUCCGAAGAUUCCAUUUAGAAAAAAGGGAAGAUAUACUCCAUUUUUACAUCCACUAAUAUAAAUGAAUAUAUUAAGAAAUUUUUCAAGGGUAAUAAAGCCUCCGGUCCCGUAGUCCAUCCGAAAGCCUUUUUGAAAAGCAGGAAGAUUUCAGAUAUAUGACGCAAAAUUUAAUGUUCGAUAGAAUAAUUGGGUUCGAAUAAUAUGUUCAGUGCUAUUACUGCAAUUGAUUUCAGUAAAGCGUUUGAUUCUAUUUAUCAUGGACAAAUAUUUUAUUCUGUAAAAAUAGUUACUACCCACUCGUUUUUUUUUAAUCCAGUGGGGACACGGUUAUUAACUGGUACCUCUAAAAUCACCUUGAAUGGUCUUGAAAGUGCUCUAAUUCGUUAUAAAAGGAGCUGCAGACAGGAAUGACAGGUGACUCUUCCCUUCUUUUUAUUGCUACAAGUGAGGAAUUUCCUCAGGAUAUUAGGGGCAAGUACUCUGGCUUUGGAGUUAAUUUUUUAAAGAAAAACAUAUUUUAGACAUAUAUGCCGAUGACAAAACUAUUCAUGUUAUUUGCAGGUUACAAGAAAUUCUCAAGUAUGUAA